CUCAAUAACACUCGUUUCAUUCAACUCGCUUGUGUGCCGGAGCAGCUGAAUUUAAAAAAAAAAACAAACAAAGAAAAAAGAUGAGAUUUCUCGCCAUCGCUCUCAUUCUACUCAUUCAAGCGAGCGCGACACUCUGGGCCCAGACGCCGACGCCGGAUCCGGACCCAUCCGACUCUCCAGGAAUCCUACAAAGACUACUUGACAACGCUCGUGCAGCCAAAGAGAACGUCGACAGAACGACGGGCAUUGCGGUGGCAUUCGCGAGGG